rnacentral:lncRNA from 13 species
GGCCAUGGGGAAGGGAAACACGUUUUCUGGGCUCCGGGGACUCUUAAGCCAUCUGCUCGCCCACUGCCUUGCUGGGUAAAGUGUGAAGGUCGAAAGCCGGGGUUUUUCUCAGGGUCUCCUGGCGUCGGGGGGUCCGGGUGCCCACCCAGAACGCUGCGAAGUUGCAGAGUGCAUGUUUCAUGUCUCAGAAAACACCUUUUCAUCUUAAAUUAAUCAGUAUUGACUCACACGUGUCAGUGACUUGGGGCAGAGAGGGUUCGAGGCCAACCUCAGUGGCCCACGCCUGUCAUCCCAGCACUUUGGGAGGCUGAGGCGGGCACAUCAGUUGAGGUCGGGAGUUCGAGACCAGCCUGGCUAACAUGGAGAAAUCCCGUCUCCUCUAAAAAUAGAAAAAAAUAAAAAUAAAAAUAAAUAAAUUAGCCGGGCGUGGUGGGGGGGCGUCUGUGAUCCCAGCUACUCGGGAGGCUGAGGCAGGAGAAUCGCUUGAACCCGGGAGGCAGAGUUUGCAGUGAGCGGAGAUCGGCCAUUGCACUCCAGCCUGGGCUACAGAGCGAGACUCUGUGUCAAAGUAAAAUAAUAAAAUAAAAUAAAAUAAAAUAAAAUAAAAUAAAAUAUAAACCAUGAAAACAAACAUUAAAAAGAAAAUCCCCAUAAAUUCCAGUUCUAGGUAGGCAGCUGUGCAUGGGUGGAUACAGAGGGUCCGUAAGGGGCUGGCACCCCCAUCCCCCGUCGGUUACCUCCGGGCUCCCAGAGGUGCAAAAGUGCUCCGUGCAGCCUGGCAGGGAGGGUGCUCCCUGUCCAGGCCCCGGGCUGAAUCCUGAGACCCUUGUGCAAACUCUGUCUGCCUUCCCACCAAGGUGUGGUUCCAGAAUCGAAGAGCCAAGUGCAGGAAACAGGAGAAUCAGAUGCAUAAAGGUGUUAUCCUGGGCACGGCCAACCACCUAGACGCCUGCCGAGUGGCACCCUACGUGAAUAUGGGAGCUUUGCGGAUGCCUUUCCAACAGGUAGCUGAUUUUUCUUCCUGUGAAGAACCCCGGGGACCCCUCGCCUCCUCCUCUGCUGCCCGGCCCCCGCCCCCCCGACUGGCUCCCAAAUCCUAACACUCCCGGCUCCUCGGCUAGCCCUGGGGAGCGGGAGGCAGUGGCUUUUCCAAGGGAGCAUUUACAGGCGUCUUGGC